AGAAUUUUAAGUAAAUAAACUAUUAGCCUUCAAAGCUUAAAUUAAAAAUAAUUUCUAAAUUCUG
rnacentral:tRNA from 1 species